rnacentral:misc_RNA from 1 species
UCCGAGUUGACCCCGGCAGUCUCCUAUGAGUCCCCGCCAUAACGCGCUGGCAACAUAGAACGAGGGUUGCGCUCGUUGCGGGACUUAACCCAACAUCUCACGACACGAGCUGACGACAACCAUGCACCACCUGUAUGCGAGUGUCCAAAGAGUUCUGCAUCUCUGCAGCGUUCUCGCAUAUGUCAAGCCUUGGUAAGGUUCUUCGCGUUGCAUCGAAUUAAUCCGCAUGCUCCGCCGCUUGUGCGGGCCCCCGUCAAUUCCUUUGAGUUUUAAUCUUGCGACCGUACUCCCCAGGCGGGGCACUUAAUGCGUUAGCUACGGCACCGCGGGGGUCAAUACCCACGACACCUAGUGCUCAUCGUUUACAGCGUGGACUAC